GUGAUGAUGAAAACCAAGUGGAUCCCAGUUUCUUUAAGCAGAUAAAACAUGUCCUGCAGGAUGGAGGAUGUUCAGUUGUGCCUGUUAUCUUCUCUCCACUGAGAUUGGUUCCUGGGAGAAAGGCAGAGAUGACUGCAGACAGAGAGGAGCACAUCUGGUGGUGAUAGAAAGCUUUGGAGAGCAGGUACUGUGUGGCAGGCAGUCCUAAAGAACAGAAGUUCCUCUCUAACUUCACCAAAAAAGAAACGCAUGCUUGGAUUGGUUUGACUGACGAAGCCGAGGAGGGAACCUGGAAAUGGAUUAAUGAAGCUCCGCUGUCUUUAAAGUACUGGCGGGAAACUCAGCCUGAUAAUGGUGGUGGACAUAUCCAUCUCGGGAAAGAGAACUGUGCCCAUAUCAUAAUAACUGGAGGGACGAAUUAUCAGAACUGGAAUGAUUUGCUUUGUAGUACCGAUCUGAGAUGGAUCUGUGAGAAGCAUCAUCAGUGAAUACUCAAGUUUAAACGUUUUCGGAUUGUUGGCUACAGGAAGGAAAACAAAUUAAGAAUGUCCUUCACCUGCAAAUCAUGGCUCAGUUGAUAAUAAGGAAAAUAAUUAAUAAUUAUAUCAUCAAUCCACCCACAGUAAUGAUGGAUUCUUCUUCAUGAAUCUUAUUGCUCAGAGUUCAUUGUCCCUGAUCCAUGCUCCUGUGUCUCUGCUCCUGAUCCAUGUUGCUGUGUCUCUGCUCCUGCACGAGAAUCGUCCUGCUCGGAGUUCAUUGUCCCUGAUCCAUGCUCCUGUGUCUCUGCUCCUGCAUGAGAAUCCUCCUGCUUGGAGUUCAUUGUCCCUGAUCCAUGUUGCUGUGUCUCUGCUCCUGAUCCAUGUUGCUGUGUCUCUGCUCCUGAUCCUUGUUGCUGUGUCUCUGCUCCUGAUCCUUGUUGCUGUGUCUCUGCUCCUGAUCCUUGUUGCUGUGUCUCUGCUCCUGAUCUUUGUUGCUGUGUCUCUGCUCCUGAUCCUUGUUGCUGUGUCUCUGCUCCUGAUCCUUGUUGCUGUGUCUCUGCUCCUGAUCCUUGUUGCUGUGUCUCUGCUCCUGCACGAAAAUCGUCCUGCUCGGAGUUCAUUGUCCCUGAUCCAUGCUCCUGUCUCUCUGCUCUUGCAUGUGACUCCUCUUGUCUCUCAGGUUUUAUCCAGUAGAAAUCUGAGGCUGAAAUCUUUUGCCAGGCUUCCGCAACAUUGUUGACACUGUUGUUGCUCUCACCUGUAUUGGGCUGCUCAUGCAUCCGAAUAGCUUGAAGGUGAGGCUCACAGAUUGCUUCAGCUCUUUUUUUUGCGAUUUCUUGUAGCUGACCUUGCAAACGCUCACUCACUUGCACUGCCAGGAGAUCUUCAUAAACCACUUUGUAGUAAGGAGGACAACAAGCCUUGCUGUCACAAUCGGACCAAUUCUUCUUCUUUCUUCUACAACAGGCUAUUAUGUUUUCAACAAUGCUCCAAAUGAAAAUAAGAGAUGUGAUUAAAUACAAGCCAAUUUCCUGGAAAAAAGAAAAAAGACAUCUAUUUAAUAGUUUGAGGAACACAAAGCACAACAUCAUUGUGGUUUCAGACAGUUAAGUUUAACAUAGUGUUCUGCAUUGUCAAAACAUAAUAUAUGAACAAAUGUAUUGUGAGUUUGAAAAAAUACAUUUGUAUAAAGAUAUAAAACAAUUCCA